UAUGCCAGGAAUGUGAGAGUUUCAGGUUCCCCCUCGGGAUCAAAGCGAACCACAAAUAACCUCUCAGCGCGCCGCCCUCCUCCGCCCUCCGCCUCCUCCCGCUCCCUCCUCCCGGUCCCCGCCUUCCUCCGGGGAGGCGGCGCUGCUGGCUGAGCGCCGGGCCGGCCCCCGAGCUCCGUUCCUCCUCACCCAGCGCCCUCCACGCCGCGCUGUGUCCGCCCCUGCCCCCCCGUUUUGCCUUGGGAGCUGCUGGAGACAAUUUAAUCCAACUCGGCUCAUUAUCGCCUCCACUCCCAGUCGCCGACCCGCUCUCACCCUUCAUCCCUAAACCUAUGGACGGGACGACAGCAAGGGCUGUACCACGCGUGUCCCGAGGAAGUGUGAAUCUGGUUUGGAAAAUCCGGUCAAUUUGACCCACCUACCCAACAGAAUCACCCGUCGUCAGGCGCUCUGUCCAAUUCUUCCCCAAGGUGAUAAUAGGCGCCCCUUUACGCAGAGCGCAAGGUGUGCCACCGCUGGCUUUUCGCCCGGUCAUCCGAUUCAGCCCUGCCAAGCACCCUCCAACGGAGUUCUGUUAUCAUUCCUGUGUUAUAAAUGAGGGCACCAGGGCUCAGAGAGCUUAAGCAGCGUGUCCAGAGUCACACACAGCAAGAACCAGAAAGAACGGAGGGCACGAUCUCUCAGGCACGGCUGCUGGGAGGCUCCGUGGAACCUGCCUAAGCUGGUGGCCAUCCCAGCUCUGCAGGGUGGUUGGUUGAGAAGGUGACCACCGUUGAGAUGUGCCAGAGGCAGGUUAUGAUUCUUCCCAGAUGACAAUGUGGCUGACUGGGUCAGGAAUCCUACCCAGGAAAGAUGCGGAGGUGACCUAAUUCUCAGACUUCCUCUGGACACUCCCUCUGACAGCUUAUGGGAACAAGAAGCCUACUGGAGCACAAAGCCUCACUGGAGCAUGAAGCAAAUUCAUAGGAAGAAUCUGAACAUUAGGAUGGAAGUUCUAGUGCUCCAGUUCCAAGAGCAGAAGAUCCAAGUGGAGGGCUUUCUUCUCUUUGUCCUCCUGCAAACCCCUGUCCCCCCUUCACUCCCUUCUCCACCCCUCCCUUCAUCACUCCCUCUAGGUUUUCUCCCCCAAGUCUUCUCCUUCCACUGCUGCCCCCUCUGUCUUUCACUCUCAUACUUCAGGUCUGGAAUCUCCAUUAAGCACAAAGGGCCUCACGGAGUCUGUGUCUUUAGGGGUUAAAUCCUCCAGAGUUGGAGCAUUUAUGGAUUUAGGCCCCACAAUGGUUUGGGUAAGAGAAUGUUGUCCUAAAAAAUGAAGAAGCGGCCAGGCACGGUGGCUCACACCUGUAACCACAGCACUUUGGGAGGCCAAGGCGGAUGGCUCACCUGAGGUCAGGAGUUCGA